ACUCAGGUGUAGCAGGUGGCCAGGGUCCGAAAACAUGGCGGUCCAUGCCCUGUCGGGACAAAGCCGGAGAAGAAUCUGGUGGAAGUCCAAAGUGCCUCUGAUGUGCAAAUCGAUCGAAGAAACUGGGUGUAGCGGCAAAAGACCAAUUGAGCCAUCUAGUAGCUGGUUCCCUCCGAAGUUUCCCUCAGAAUACCUGGUGCCAGUGGGAGAACGACAUGCAAUUCCGUCUGGUAAAGUGAAUGACUGGAGGCCCCAGGGACCUUGACAGCUUUGAUCUACUCUCAUACUCAGAACGGGUGAAACAAGCCGUUCCUCUCCUGAUCGGAGGCAGCCAUAUAUCACAGCCAUUGCAACGCAAUGAAUGCAUGGUGCCAAGUGGGCCACAUUUGGUAAGCAGAACUGGUGAUAGGGGAUGAACUGAACAUCCGGCUAAGGUGCCCUACACUUUGCCCAUUAGAUUGCCGAAAGGGCGUUGGUUGAUAUAGACAGCAGGACAGUGGCGCUGAAGUGAGCAACCAAUGCCAAACCAGCCAUUUGACAGGUUGCACGAUUGCCAGUGAAGUAACUUUCUGAUGCCUGGUUGAAUAGGAGGGUGCUGCAGUGAAACUUCUAUGAGGUUUCUUAAAAAGAGUAGGAGGGUGCUGCAUGGAAGCCGCAGGCAUGAGCCUGGGUGAAGCCAACUGUGGGUGCAGAUCUCGGUUGUAGUAGGAAAUAUUUGAACGAGACCUUUGAAGACCAAAGUGAAGGGUUCUGUGCCAAUGGCAGUCGAGUACGGGUUAAUUGGUCCUUAGAAGUGGGCAUAAGCUUCCAGAAAGGCACCAGAUCCAUUGUUGUUGUUGUUGUUGUUGUCAGUGUACAUAUGCAUGAAAGCGGCUGGCCUCGCAUCAAAAGGGAAUUGGGUUAAUAUUCUCAAACAUGAACAUGGAGAGUGCCCAUCCAGCUGUGGGAACGGGGCAUGCUCGUAGCAGAGCAUCUGUGGUUGAAGCCGGCAGCCAGGCAAAGCUGCAGCAAUGCAAGUGAGCAUGGAGAUGUUGCCAUGAGCCGUGGUAAGAGUUCUCUCUUCUUUGAAAAGGACCGUGUCCAUGGAAUCGGCUAGUC
rnacentral:ncRNA from 1 species